UACGGGGGGGGGCAAGCGUUUGUUCGGAAUUACUGGGCGUAAGGCUCGUAGGCGGCCAACUAAGUCAGACGUGAAAUCCCCAGGCUCAACUUGGGAACUGCGUCUGAUACUGGAUGGCUUGAAUUCGGGAGAGGGAUGCAGAAUUCCAGGUGUAGCGGUGAAAUGCGUAGAUAUCUGGAGGAAUACCGGUGGCGAAGGCGCUCACUGGCCCGGUACUGACGCUGAGGUGCGAAAGCGUGGGGAGCAAACAGG
rnacentral:rRNA from 1 species